CAAAAAAAAAAAGAUUAAAAACUAGUGGAUACUUUUGUACUAGGAGAAUCAAAGAUUCUGAUUUUUAGCUCUUGUAAGCUUCUUCUAAUCCCCUUGAAUUUUUCUUUUCUGGCAGAGAUACAAGGCUGAAGGGCAGGACACCAUUGUGCUGGCUGGAGCUGAAUAUGGGAGUGGAAGUUCCAGAGAUUGGGCUGCCAAGGGUCCCAUGCUAUUGGUGAGUCCUACAUAGCCUGUGAUUUGAUUGUCUGGUUUUCUUGACAUGUUGAUACUCAUUCUUGACAGUUCUUGAUGAUGCUUACAUUUUUCUGA
rnacentral:misc_RNA from 1 species